rnacentral:rRNA from 1 species
AGUUUGAUCCUGGCUCAGAAUGAAACCUGGCGGUGUGCCUAACACAUGCAAGUCAAACGACAAUUUAUUUGGAGUGGCGGACGGGUGAGUAACACGUAAGAACCUACCUUUAGGAGGGGGAUACCAUCCCGGGAAACUGGUGCUAAUACCCCAUAUGCUGAGAAGUGAAAUGGUAUUUAACCGCCUAGAGAGGGGCUUGCGGCUGAUUAGCUAGUUGGUGGGGUAAUGGCCUCCCAAGGCGACGAUCAGUAGCUGGUUUGAGAGGAUGAUCAGCCACACUGGGACUGAGACACGGCCCAGACUCCUACGGGAGGCAGCAGUGAGGAAUUUUCCGCAAUGGGCGAAAGCCUGACGGAGCAAUACCGCGUGGAGGAAAAAGAAGACCUGUGGGUUGUAAACUCCUUUUCUCAGAGAAGAAUACUGACGGUAUCUGAGGAAUAAGCACCGGCUAACUAUGUGCCAGCAGCCGCGGUAAUACAUGGGGUGCGAGGUUUAUUCGGAAUGAUUGGGCGUAAAGCGUUCGUAGGUGGUUUCACGAAGUCCACUGUCAAAGAUCAGGGCUUAACCUUGGGCAGGCAGUGGAAACUCGGAAACUCGAGUCAGGUGGGGGCUGAAGGAAUCAACAGCGUAACAGUGAAAUGUGUAGAUAUUGUUGA